rnacentral:rRNA from 1 species
UACAGAGGGGGCAAGCGUUAUUCGGAAUUAUUGGGCGUAAAGAGCUUGUAGGCGGUUUGUCGCGUCUGCCGUGAAAAUUCGAGGCUCAACCUCGAACUUGCGGUGGGUACGGGCAGACUAGAGUGUGGUAGGGGAGACUGGAAUUCCUGGUGUAGCGGUGAAAUGCGCAGAUAUCAGGAGGAACACCGAUGGCGAAGGCAGGUCUCUGGGCAUUAACUGACGCUGAGGAGCGAAAGCAUGGGGAGCGAACAGG